rnacentral:rRNA from 1 species
AUUGAACGCUGGCGGCAUGCUUUACACAUGCAAGUCGAACGGGGUGAGGGGGCAACUCCUCAUUCAGUGGCGAACGGGUGAGUAAUGCAUCGGAACGUGUCCCGUAGUGGGGGAUAACUCGGCGAAAGCCGUGCUAAUACCGCAUAUGCUCUACGGAGGAAAGUGGGGGACCUGAAAGGCCUCACGCUAUGGGAGCGGCCGAUGUCCGAUUAGCUUGUUGGCGGGGUAANGGCCCACCAAGGCGACGAUCGGUAGCUGGUCUGAGAGGAUGAUCAGCCACACUGGGACUGAGACACGGCCCAGACUCCUACGGGAGGC